rnacentral:lncRNA from 1 species
UAAGAAAUAGACUGUACUCUCUUCAAAUCGAAAUAACGGCACCUUAAUUCUUGGAUUUUCCACAUUUUCAUUGGUAAAGCUCCCAUUCGCUUUCUUUGAAUCUGUAUCAGUUCAUGCAGUUCUGCCAAGGGGGGAAGCUUUACGGGACACUGCUACUUUAGCUCUUGAAAUAUUAAGAUGAACAGGACAAGCAAAAAGAUGAGGAAGAGGCCUCACGGAUUCAGCCUUCAGAAGAACCUAGCCCCACAUGGAACCUCCCCGUCUUGCGGACCUCUCACUAUUGCAAAAAAUCCAC